rnacentral:lncRNA from 1 species
AGGGCCUCGAGCAAAAGCACGCGCACAGGUAGCGCGGGAGCGUGCUUUGCGGGAGCCGAAGGGACGCCCCGGGGCAUCUGCGAGCGUGGGGCUGUCCGGUGACUCUCUUUUGAACCUCGUUCUGCGCGCCCUGCGCUCGCUUUCCCCCUCCAACCUGUCCCGGCUGUCCGGGGAUGGGCUGCCAGAGCGUUUCUCCGUGCCGCGUAGCGCCGCGACCGUCCCGCUGCCGGCCGCGCUCCGGGCUCUGCUGCUGCUGCUGGCUGCGCUCGGUGCGCGCUCCCUGGGUGUCACCUCCGAGCGAUCCCGGACCGAGAGAAAGCUCCUACGAGAGCAAAGUUGGGCGCUUCCCUCAGAGCGUCGCGAACCUCAGCGCAAGCCGAGGUGCUCCCCGAGCAGGGUAUUCCCUCCUGCCGAGCGGCCAGCGCUAUGGAAAGAACCGAGGGGAAGCGGGAGGAAUCUCCGCGCGCUUCCCCGAAGCCACACGGGCGCAUCCCGGUGGCAGCGCGGGGCUGAGCUCCUCAGCCCGGUGUGUUUGGAAGCGUAACGCGAUACAUCGCCUCCCUUGAUCUCAUUCUGCCUUCCUCCUUAGCCGUACCUCACUGUACUUAAGAGGACGGUUUUGCUACCAGCCCUCUCCCCCCAUCCCCACGUUUUCAUCUCUUCCUCCUGCUUGCUCUCCUCUCGACAGCUCCAUACCUUUCCAUUAUUUCCUCACACGCAUCACACCACUCGAUCUCUGGCCAUUCCUGGCACCGCUCUCUGCCUUUGGCCACCACCCAGGUGUCCACACAGAGUUGGCAUCCAUCCCAUCCCGUACUACUGCCAUGUCCCGGCCCCGGGUGGCCUCUGUCAUCCCACUGCCACCUCGGCCUGCCCUGACUUUCCACCAGCCAUUGCUCAUCUCUGGAGAUGGAGUCACCUCCAACCUGUCUGGUACCAGGACCUGCAUACCUGGCAUCGUGGUCACGCAUGCUCACACUAGAUUCCAUCACAUACGAAGUAUAAGCAGUACCUGUUGGACUUGGCUAGGGUUUUUGCUGUGGACUUCCCCAUCACCAGUUUGUGCUUCUCUCUUGCCAUGGGCAUGGCCAAAGACUCCACUGCUCACCUGUGCUGCAUACUGUUUAACGCUCUUUGCCCUGGCACAUCCUUUAGCCGCAUAACGACCCUGAUAUGCUUUGUUGUCGCCAGUAUUUCCACCCCAGCGGAUCACCUUUCAGCUUGGCAUUAUGGGGAGCCCUCCAAGAGAGGUGUGCGAAGGGACAGGCACUGCACAGCUGCACUGGUGCAUCUGUCAGCCAACCAGCCGGUCAACCAUUCAGGCACCUCAAUGCUGCACUCGGGAGUUCCUGUCCUCCAAAAUAUACCUCUUCUUUCCCAAAAUUCUGAUACCUCGGCCUGACAAGCACUUCAUAUAUGAAACCUUAACGCCACAGCCUGCUGUUAGGAAUGUGCACGCUGCACCCAGUGCUGGAGCGAAACCAGAAGGGUAGAGCUCAGGUGUUUUGGAACCAUCCCACAGGCAGCCCCUGGCGGCCUUCCAGCAUGCUCUUCCUUUAAGCGUGCUCACUGUGCCUCUGGAGAAGACUGCUGAUCCAUCAGUUAAUCGUAUUGACUUCCUAACAUUCCCUCAAGUUCUACCUCUGGUCACCAGAGAGAGAAGAUCAGUGCCAGGAGAGCCUAGACACUCUAGCAACAGAUGAGAUCUCCACUGUCCUCAGCAACAUAAAAAGAGAAAAUGGUCAGCUCUUGCCCCAGAGAAGAUUACAUUUGGUGGAGCGAUAGGAAAUAUUUUCUUGGAAAAUGCUGAAUUGUUUCACGGCAGUCUAUCAAGUCCUGGUUUCAGAUAUUCUAUCCACCACCUAUUUCAUGACUGUUAUUUAGGCCUUGAUCCUCAGCUGGCAUAAAUCAAGCAUUGGGCUAUGUAAGUCAGAAGAGCCCUGCUGAUUUAUGUUUGCUGUGUCACCUCAGUGAAGCUGAUGAAGUUAUGCCAGCUGACAUCAGCUCAGGAUCUGGCCCCUAGCUGCUGUCAGUGCCAUUUAGUACCACCCUUCUUUUUCUGCUGCUUCCUUAGCACUGUGAGAUUCUUCUGGCUGACUGCAGGACCCAACAGAGACAGCUCCGCUUCCUGUACCCAGCCUCCUCUCCAGCUCAUUAACUCCAGUAGGAACAGGGGUGUGGGAGGGGAGAAGAUCCGGC